GUUUUUUAUGGAAAAACCAUGGAAGGAAACCGAGAAGUUACUGAUUCAAUUUACUCCAAUACUUCUCUUGAACAACUCCAAUGGCAGCUUUGGGUAAUUAGAACUCCAAGUUUAUUUCUCGAAUGUGGGUAAUCACGUUCUACCACUAUGGAAACUGUACUAUUUUGAAUCUAUUUGAAUUCUGAUUUAUGUUUUAUCAACUUUUUUUUCAUUUGAAAUCUUUUUUGUUUUUGAGAGUGAAUUGGAGGAUGGGAUAAAAGUUCUUUCUAUUUUGACAUGGGUGAAGAUGAAUAGCAGAAGAUUCUGGCAAAGAUAUGAGGACGACGUUCUGAAUAGGAAUAACGACGAGGGCGGCUAAGUCGGCGGUAGCAAGGUGUGUCCAUGUCGUCUGUAACGGUGUUUCCGGAAUAAAUUUGAGUUUUGAUUGGAUUUAUCAAUAUACUCAGUAGUUUGCAGUAAUUGGAGGAAUUUUGAUUGGAUUUAUCAAUAUAGUUUGAAGUGGGUUUGGACGGAAUACAUAUUUAAUAUUUUGUUUUGAAGAUGUAUGAAACUUGAGAUUAUUAUACACUUAUGUCGUUCCAUUUAAUUAUUUAAUACAUCUAUGCUUAAUGAAGA